AGAGUUUGAUCAUGGCUCAGAACGUACGCUGGCGGCACGCCUAACACAUGCAAGUCGAACGAAGUAGCAAUACUUAGUGGCAAACGGGUGAGUAAUAUGUGGGAAUCUGCCUAUCGGUCUGGAAUAACAUGAGGAAACUUAUGCUAAUACCGGAUAAGCCUUUACAGGGAAAGCUUUAUGCUCCGAUUGAUGAGUCCGCAUUUGAUUAGUUAGUUGGUGGGGUAAUGGCUUACCAAGACAAUGAUCAAUAGCUGAUUUGAGAGGAUGAUCAGCCACAUUGGGACUGAGACACGGCCCAAACUCCUACGGGAGGCAGCAGUGGGGAAUUUUGCACAAUGGGGGAAACCCUGAUGCAGCGAUGCCGCGUGAGUGAAGAAGGCCCUUGGGUUGUAAAGCUCUUUCGUCGGGGAAGAAAAUGACUGUACCCGAAUAAGAAGGUCCGGCUAACUUCGUGCCAGCAGCCGCGGUAAUACGAAGGGACCUAGCGUAGUUCGGAAUUACUGGGCUUAAAGAGCACGUAGGUGGUUAAAAAAGUUGGUGGUGAAAUCCCAGAGCUUAACUCUGGAACUGCCAUCAAAACUUUUUAGCUAGAGUAUGAUAGAGGAAAGUAGAAUUUCUAGUGUAGAGGUGAAAUUCGUAGAUAUUAGAAAGAAUACCAAUUGCGAAGGCAGCUUUCUGGAUCAUUACUGACACUGAGGUGCGAAAGCAUGGGUAGCGAAGAGGAUUAGAUACCCUCGUAGUCCAUGCCGUAAACGAUGUGUGCUAGACGUUGGAAAUUUAUUUUCAGUGUCGCAGCAAAAGCGUUAAGCACACCGCCUGGGGAGUACGACCGCAAGGUUAAAACUCAAAUGAAUUGACGGGGACCCGCACAAGCAGUGGAGCAUGUGGUUUAAUUCGAAGAUACGCGCAGAACCU
rnacentral:rRNA from 1 species